rnacentral:rRNA from 1 species
UACGUAGGGUGCAAGCGUUAAUCGGAAUUACUGGGCGUAAAGCGUGCGCAGGCGGUUGUGCAAGACAGAUGUGAAAUCCCCGGGCUUAACCUGGGAAUUGCGUUGGAGACUGCAAGGCUGGAGUCUGGCAGAGGGGGGUAGAAUUCCACGUGUAGCAGUGAAAUUCGUAGAUAUCGGGAGGAACACCGGUGGCGAAGGCGGCGACCUGGGUCGACACUGACGCUGAGGCGCGAAAGCGUGGGGAGCAAACAGG